AGAGUUUGAUCCUGGCUCAGGAUGAACGCUGGCGGCGUGCCUAAUACAUGCAAGUCGAGCGAACCACUUCGGUGGGAAGCGGCGAACGGGUGAGUAACACGUAGGUGAUCUGCCCAUCAGACGGGGACAACGAUUGGAAACGAUCGCUAAUACCGGAUAGGACGAAAGUUUAAAGAUGCUCCUGGCAUCACUGAUGGAUGAGCCUGCGGCGCAUUAGCUAGUUGGUGGGGUAAAGGCCUACCAAGGCGACGAUGCGUAGCCGACCUGAGAGGGUGAACGGCCACACUGGGACUGAGACACGGCCCAGACUCCUACGGGAGGCAGCAGUAGGGAAUCUUCGGCAAUGGGCGAAAGCCUGACCGAGCAACGCCGCGUGAAUGAAGAAGGCCUUCGGGUUGUAAAAUUCCGUUAUAAGGGAAGAAAGGUGAUAGGAGGAAAUGACUAUCAAUUGACGGUACCUUAUGAGAAAGCCACGGCUAACUACGUG
rnacentral:rRNA from 1 species